GAUGAACGCUAGCGACAGGCUUAACACAUGCAAGUCGAGGGGCAGCGGGGGUAGCAAUACCCGCCGGCGACCGGCGCACGGGUGAGUAACGCGUAUGCAACUUACCUAUCAGAGGGGGAUAACCCGGCGAAAGUCGGACUAAUACCGCAUGAAGCAGGGGCCCCGCAUGGGGAUAUUUGCUAAAGAUUCAUCGCUGAUAGAUAGGCAUGCGUUCCAUUAGGCAGUUGGCGGGGUAACGGCCCACCAAACCGACGAUGGAUAGGGGUUCUGAGAGGAAGGUCCCCCACAUUGGUACUGAGACACGGACCAAACUCCUACGGGAGGCAGCAGUGAGGAAUAUUGGUCAAUGGCCGAGAGGCUGAACCAGCCAAGUCGCGUGAGGGAUGAAGGUUCUAUGGAUCGUAAACCUCUUUUAUAAGGGAAUAAAGUGCGGGACGUGUCCCGUUUUGUAUGUACCUUAUGAAUAAGGAUCGGCUAACUCCGUGCCAGCAGCCGCGGUAAUACGGAGGAUCCGAGCGUUAUCCGGAUUUAUUGGGUUUAAAGGGUGCGUAGGCGGCCUUUUAAGUCAGCGGUGAAAGUCUGUGGCUCAACCAUAGAAUUGCCGUUGAAACUGGGGGGCUUGAGUAUGUUUGAGGCAGGCGGAAUGCGUGGUGUAGCGGUGAAAUGCAUAGAUAUCACGCAGAACCCCGAUUGCGAAGGCAGCCUGCCAAGCCAUUACUGACGCUGAUGCACGAAAGCGUGGGGAUCAAACAGGAUUAGAUACCCUGGUAGUCCACGCAGUAAACGAUGAUCACUAGCUGUUUGCGAUACACUGUAAGCGGCACAGCGAAAGCGUUAAGUGAUCCACCUGGGGAGUACGCCGGCAACGGUGAAACUCAAAGGAAUUGACGGGGGCCCGCACAAGCGGAGGAACAUGUGGUUUAAUUCGAUGAUACGCGAGGAACCUUACCCGGGUUUGAACGCAUUCGGACCGAGGUGGAAACACCUUUUCUAGCAAUAGCCGUUUGCGAGGUGCUGCAUGGUUGUCGUCAGCUCGUGCCGUGAGGUGUCGGCUUAAGUGCCAUAACGAGCGCAACCCUUGCCACUAGUUACUAACAGGUGAUGCUGAGGACUCUGGUGGGACUGCCAGCGUAAGCUGCGAGGAAGGCGGGGAUGACGUCAAAUCAGCACGGCCCUUACAUCCGGGGCGACACACGUGUUACAAUGGCGUGGACAAAGGGAGGCCACCUGGCGACAGGGAGCGAAUCCCCAAACCACGUCUCAGUUCGGAUCGGAGUCUGCAACCCGACUCCGUGAAGCUGGAUUCGCUAGUAAUCGCGCAUCAGCCAUGGCGCGGUGAAUACGUUCCCGGGCCU
rnacentral:rRNA from 1 species